CCGGGUGGAGGGGGGGGAUGUUGGCACGCGCUCCGUUACCUGCUUCUCGCUGGUUCCUGCUGGUUCUCUGUGACAGCGGAGCGCGAGCUUUUCCUCUUAACGGGGCUGUCUCCAGACUUCUCUUUCUGGAACCAAGUCCCAGUCGCCCUCAGGUAGGACUCCAACCUAUGACCCCAAGAUUGAGGGUUGCAUGUUCUUCCAACUGAGCCAACCAGCCCUUUGCAGAGCAAACAAAAAGAGACAGACCUGCGUUCCCAAAGGGAAGAAGCCUGCUUUACAACCCCAGCCGGGGAAGAAAGAUUUUUCUCCCAGCCCAGCAACAGCCUAGCCAAUGAGAGACUGUCACACACAACUCAACCAAUGAAAAGCCACUACACUUCCGACUUCCGGUUUACCCCAAUGGACUUUUUGUUUACAACAGCUCCUCCCAAGUCCCCCACCCCCCUUUUCUCUAUGAAAGAGCCAACUUCUCCUUUGUGCUUUGGACUUGUUUGUGGUUUUGCUGUAGCUUGCGUGGCUUGAAUUGUAAUUCUCUGCUGCUCCCGAAUAAAUCAGUUUUUCUGGUAAAAUAAUUAACAGUUUUAUUUUUAAGGCUAACACAAGCCGGAGCUUCUAAUAAGUAUCAAGUGUCUGUGAGUCACUGAACUGAGUAAAACAAAGAAGGUCAUCCGCAAAUUGACUGAGGCUUGAAUUAUACAAGAAGCCUAGAUUCUUUGGAUUUACACUUAAUAUUCAGGCAAAAAUAAGCGGGGACUUUGGAACAUCCCUGGAGCACGACGAUCCAGGUAUGCUGUUGGUUUUCCCAUGCG